rnacentral:rRNA from 1 species
GAUGAACGCUGGAGGCGUGCCUAAUACAUGCAAGUCGAGCGAACGGACGAGAAGCUUGCUGCUCUGAUGUUAGCGGCGGACGUGUGAGUAACACGUGUAUAACCUACCUAUCAGACUGAGAUCACUUCGGGAAACCGGAUCUAAUACCGUAUAAUAUUUUGAACCGCAUGGUUCAAAAGUAAAAGACGGUCUUGCUGUCACGUAUAGAUGGAUCCGCGCUUCAUUAGCUAGUUGGUAAGGUAACGGCUUACCAAGGCAACGAUGCAUAGCCGACCUGAGAGGGUGAUAGGCCACACUGGAACUGAGACACGGUCCAGACUCCUACGGGAGGCAGCAGUAGGGAAUCUUCCGCAAUGGGCGAAAGCCUGACGGAGCAACGCCGCGUGAGUGAUGAAGGUCUUCGGAUCGUAAAACUCUGUUAUUAGGGAAGAACAUAUGUGUAAGUAACUGUGCACAUCUUGACGGUAACUAAUCAGAAAGCCACGGCUAACUACGUG